CUGAACAGCAGAUACCGCAGACCCCGGCUGAGACACAUGAUCAUCACCUGCCCUGAAACACAGUGGCUCUGCACUGAAGGACCGACACGAACACCGGACUUGUUACCAAGGAUACUGAGGGAGGAUGGCUGCCGGCUCCAGGCUACAUUAGCGGCCUGCUACUAGCAUUACACAGCCGGAAUCUCCAACCAAAGGGUUGAUGGUCAAAUUGCAUUGUGGGUAGGGACGGAACAUCUGAAGCCUGGACCAGUCACGUUGCACCACAGACGUCCGUACUGUAGCCCACACUCUCCCUCCAUGACUCUCACCAGCUAAAUGUUAGACUUCCAUGUUGAUGAGUAUGUAGGCAGCAGGAGAGCUGGCAGCAAGCAGUCAGUGCUCACAGUGUCAGAAUCAAGAAAAUUAGAGCUUUGUGAAUGUGUAUUAUCAAUGUGGACCGACUUUGGUUUUUGACAUGAAAGGUAAAUGUUGCUGGGAAUUGCUCUGUCACUUAUAUUAACUUAGUAACAUUACUAUACACAUAU